ACAGUCGAGAUCUUUAAAUCAUAUUGAAAUAGAACAAAAUGGUGUCAACAUCUGCUUUAAUUCUAUUGGCCUUUACAUUAAUCACAUCUGUUUCGCAUUCAUAUGAAAUCUGUUCAAGAUAUGAAGGCGGUUGUUGUCCUGGUUACGAAUGGAGUAAAGAAAUAGGAAACUGUACAGAGUGUAAUAUUGGAUACUCAGGCCUUAAUUGCAGUAGGCAAUGUGUCUAUCCAACUUAUGGAUUAAAAUGCACAACGGUGUGUAACUGUUCAAAAGAAGAUUGCAAUAUUUCUACUGGAUGUGCGAUAAAGCUGUCAUGUAAGUCCAACAUUGUUUAAAAUAUGUUAGUAGUACAUUGUUUUUGUUUAUCAUUAGUUCAAUGUAACAUGUAUUGCACACGUGACUGUGUUUUUUCAUCAAAUACAUGAACAUAUAAUGUUAAGUUAUGAACUUAAUAAAAAAAACCCAUAAUGUAAGGUAGGAGGUAGACAAUACAAUUAAAAUAUACGGCAAUACAUUUUCAACAGUGACACA